rnacentral:rRNA from 1 species
CGCCUGUUUAACAAAAACAUCUCUUUUUGAGCAUAAAUAAAAAGUUUAACCUGCCCACUGAUAAAAUUAAAUGGCCGCAGUAUAUUUACUGUGCAAAGGUAGCAUAAUCAUUAGUCUUUUAAUUGAAGGCUGGAAUGAAUGGUUGGACGAAAUAUUUACUGUUUCAUAUUAAUUUUUGAUAAAAUUUUAUUUUUUAGUAAAAAAGCUAAAAUAAUAUUAAAAGACGAGAAGACCCUAUAAAUUUUUAUAUUUUAAUUAAUUUUUAUAAAUUAGAAAUUAAAUUAUUUAAUUUAAAUUAAAUAUUUUAUUGGGGUGAUAUUAAAAUUUAAUUAACUUUUAAUUUUAUUGAACAUUAAUUUAUGAAUUAUUGAACCAAUAAUAUUGAUUAUUAGAAUAAGUUACUUUAGGGAUUACAGCGUAAUUUUUUUGGAGUGUUCAUAUUGUUAAAAAAUAUUGCGACCUCGACGUUGGAUUGAGAAAUAAAUUUAGGUGUAGAAGCUUAAAAAUUAAGUUUGCACAGUUAAUAAUUUUGAUCAGAGUUUCAGACCGG